AUACGUAGGGGGCGAGCGUUGUCCGGAAUGAUUGGGCGUAAAGGGCGCGUAGGCGGCGCGGUAAGUCUGGAGUGAAAGUCCUGCUUUCAAGGUGGGAAUUGCUUUGGAUACUGCCGCGCUUGAGUGCAGGAGAGGUUAUCGGAAUUCCCGGUGUAGCGGUGAAAUGCGUAGAGAUCGGGAGGAACACCAGUGGCGAAGGCGGGUAACUGGACUGCAACUGACGCUGAGGCGCGAAAGUGUGGGGAGCAAACAGGAUUAGAUACCCUGGUAGUCCACACUGUAAACGAUGAAUGCUAGGUGUAAGAGGUAUCGACCCCUUUUGUGCCGGAGUCAACACAAUAAGCAUUCCGCCUGGGGUGUACGGCCGCAAGGUUGAAACUCAAAUGAAUUGACGGGG
rnacentral:rRNA from 1 species